rnacentral:rRNA from 1 species
CCUACGGGUGACAGCAGUGAGGAAUAUUGGUCAAUGGGCGGGAGCCUGAACCAGCCAAGUCGCGUGAAGGAUGACUGUCCUACGGAUUGUAAACCUCUUUUAUCGAGGAGUAAAGUGUGCCUCGUGUGCCCCCCUGUAUGUACCCUGUGAAAAAGGAUCGGCGAACCCCGUGCCAGCAGCCGCGGUAAUACGGAGGAUCCGGGCGUUAUCCGGAUUUAUUGGGUUUAAAGGGUGCGUGGUUGGGUUGGUAAGUGAGGUGUUAAAGUUUGGGGCACAACCGCAACCUUGCAGUUGAUACUGGCAGGAUGGAGUACAGUUGAGGUAGGCGGAAUGCGUGGUGUAGCGGUGAAAUGCUUAGAUAUCACGAAGAACUCCGAUGGCGAAGGCAGCUUACUAAACUGCCACUGACACUGAGGCUCGAAAGUGUGGGUAUCGAACAGGAUUAGAUACCCGAGUAGUC